rnacentral:SRP_RNA from 1 species
GCCGGGCGCGGUGGCGCGUGCCUGUAGUCCCAGCUACUCGGGAGGCUGAGGCUGGAGAAUCCCUUGAGUUCAGGAGUUCUGGGCUGUAGUGCGCUAUACCGAUCGGGUGUCCGCACUAAGUUCGGCAUCAAUAUGGUGACCUCCCGGGAGCGGGGGACCACCAGGUUGCCUAAGGAGGGGUGAACCGGCCCAGGUCGGAAACGGAGCAGGUUAAAACUCCCGUGCUGAUCAGUAGUGGGAUUGCGCCUGUGAAUAGCCACUGCACUCCAGCCUGGGCAACACAGUGAGACCCUGCCUCU